rnacentral:rRNA from 1 species
UCAGGACGAACGCUGGCGGCGUGCCUAACACAUGCAAGUCGAGCGAGGAGAUCCUUCGGGAUGAUCCUAGCGGCGGACGGGUGAGUAACACGUGGGCAACCUGCCUCAUAGAGAGGAAUAGCCUUCCGAAAGGGAGAUUAAUACCUCAUAACAUUGCAGUUUCGCAUGGAACAGCAAUUAAAGGAGUAAUCCGCUAUGAGAUGGGCCCGCGGCGCAUUAGCUAGUUGGUGAGGUAAUGGCUCACCAAGGCGACGAUGCGUAGCCGACCUGAGAGGGUGAUCGGCCACAUUGGGACUGAGACACGGCCCAGACUCCUACGGGAGGCAGCAGUGGGGAAUAUUGCACAAUGGGGGAAACCCUGAUGCAAGCAACGCCGCGUGAGUGAUGACGGCCUUCGGGUUGUAAAGCUCUGUCUUCAGGGACGAUAAUGACGGUACCUGAGGAGGAAGCCACGGCUAACUACGUGCCAGCCGCUGC